GACGAACGCUGGCGGCGUGCUUAACACAUGCAAGUCGAGCGACGCUCUUCCUUCGGGGAGAUGACGGAGCGGCGAACGGGUGAGUAACACGUGGGCAACCUGCCCCUAGCUCUGGGACAACACCGGGAAACCGGUGCUAAUACCGGAUACGCCAUCGAGCGGCAUCUCUCGAUGUGGAAAGUUUUUUCGGCUAGGGAUGGGCCCGCGGCCUAUCAGCUUGUUGGUGGGGUAAUGGCCCACCAAGGCGACGACGGGUAGCCGGCCUGAGAGGGCGACCGGCCACACGGGAACUGGGACACGGCCCAGACUCCUACGGGAGGCAGCAGUGGGGAAUAUUGCGCAAUGGACGAAGGCCUGACGCAGCGGCGCCGCGUGGGGAAUGACGGCCUUCGGGUUGAAAACCUCUUGCAGCAGGGACGAAUUCAGACGGUACCUGCAGAAGAAGCACCGGCCAACUACGUG
rnacentral:rRNA from 1 species